rnacentral:rRNA from 1 species
CUACCUAGUGACCGAUAGCGUAUAGUACCGUGAGGGAAAGGUGAAAAGAACCCCGGGAGGGGAGUGAAAUAGAACCUGAAACCCUGCACUUACAAGCUGUGGAAGCACAUUUCUUGUGUGACCGCGUACUUUUUGUAGAACGGGCCAACGAGUUACGUUAAGUAGCAAGGUUAAGCACUUAAGGUGUGGAGCCGUAGCGAAAGCGAGUUUUAACUGAGCGUUCAGUUACUUGACGUAGACCCGAAACCGGGCGACCUACCCAUGAGCAGGAUGAAGCGAAAGUAAAAUUUCGUGGAGGUCCGAACCCACGAGCGUUGAAAAGCUCGGGGAUGACUUGUGGGUAGCGGUGAAAUUCCAAUCGAGCCCGGAGAUAGCUGGUUCUCCCCGAAAUAGCUUUAGGGCUAGCCUCAAGGUGAGAGAUACGGAGGUAGAGCACUGAAUGUCCUAGGGGGUAUUGCACCUACCGAAGACUAUCAAACUCCGAAUGCCGUCAUCUUAUACUUGGGAGUCAGACUGUGGGUGAUAAGAUUCAUAGUCGAAAGGGCAACAGCCCAGAUCGUCAGCUAAGGUCCCUAAAUGUAAGUUAAGUGGUAAAGGAUGUGGGAUUGCACAGACAACCAGGAUGUUGGCUUAGAAGCAGCCACUCAUUCAAAGAGUGCGUAAUAGCUCACUGGUCGAGUGAUCCUGCGCCGAAGAUUUCCGGGGCUAAAACUUACUACCGAAGCUACGGCAUCAGUAAUGAUGGGUAGGGGAGCUUCCCAUACGGGUUGAAGCAUGACCGUAAGGACAUGUGGACAGUAUGGGAGUGAGAAUGUUGGCAUGAGUAGCGAGAUGUGGGUGAGAAUCCCACAGGCCGUAAACCCAAGGUUUCCAGGGGAAGGUUCGUCCGCCCUGGGUUAGUCGGGACCUAAGCUGAGGCCGAAAGGCGUAGGUGAUGGACAACAGGUUGAUAUUCCUGUACUACCGAUAACCGUUUGAGAGAAGGGAUGACACAGUAGGAUAAGCUAAGCACACUGUUGGUUAUGUGUGCCCAAGCAUUGAGGCAGUCAAAGUAGGCAAAUCCGCUUUGAUAAUGCUGGGAUGUGAUGGGGAGCGAAAUUUAGUAGCGAAGUAGCUGAUUUCACACUGUCAAGAAAAGUCUCUAUCGAGGUUAAAGGUACCCGUACCGCAAACCGACACAGGUGGGUGAGGAGAGUAUCCUAAGGCCAGCGAGAGAACUGUUGUUAAGGAACUCGGCAAAAUGACCCCGUAACUUAGGGAUAAGGGGUGCCACCAUCAGGUGGCCGCAGAGAAUAGGCCCAAGCGACUGUUUACCAAAAACAUAGGUUUCUGCUAAGUCGCAAGACGAUGUAUAGGAGCUGACGCCUGCCCGGUGCUGGAAGGUUAAGGGGAUCUGUUAGAGCAAUCGAAGCAGUGAACUUAAGCCCCAGUAAACGGCGGCCGUAACUAUAACGGUCCUAAGGUAGCGAAAUUCCUUGUCGGGUAAGUUCCGACCCGCACGAAAGGCGUAACGAUUUGGGCACUGUCUCAACAACAGACUCGGUGAAAUUGUAAUUCCGGUGAAGAUGCCGGAUACCUGCGACAGGACGGAAAGACCCCAUGGAGCUUUACUGUAGCUUGACAUUGGGUCUUGGUACUACAUGUACAGGAUAGGUGGGAGGCUUUGAAACCAGGACGCCAGUUUUGGCGGAGCCAUCCUUGGGAUACCACCCUUGUAGUACUGGGACUCUAACCAUAGGCCAUGAAUCUGGUCUUGGGACACUGUCAGGUGGGCAGUUUGACUGGGGCGGUCGCCUCCCAAAAGGUAACGGAGGCGCUCAAAGGUUCUCUCAGUACGGUCGGAAAUCGUACGUAGAGUGUAAAGGCAAAAGAGAGCUUGAUUGCAAGACAUACAGGUCGAGCAAGGAUGAAAAUCGGACUUAGUGAUCCGGUGGUUCUGCGUGGAAGGGCCAUCGCUCAACGGAUAAAAGCUACCCUGGGGAUAACAGGCUUAUCUCCCCCAAGAGUCCACAUCGACGGGGAGGUUUGGCACCUCGAUGUCGGCUCAUCACAUCCUGGGGCUGUAGUAGGUCCCAAGGGUUGGGCUGUUCGCCCAUUAAAGUGGUACGCGAGCUGGGUUCAGAACGUCGUGAGACAGUUCGGUCCCUAUCCGUCGCAGGCGUAGGAAAUUUGAGAAGACCUGUCCUUAGUACGAGAGGACCGGGAUGGACGUACCUCUGGUGUACCAGUUGUCCUGCCAAGGGCAUGGCUGGGUAGCUAUGUACGGAAUGGAUAAGCGCUGAAAGCAUCUAAGCGCGAAGCCAACUUCAAGAUAAGAUUUCCCACCGCAAGGGUAAGACCCCAGAAAGACUAUCUGGUUGA